rnacentral:rRNA from 1 species
AUACGAAGGGGGCUAGCGUUGUUCGGAAUCACUGGGCGUAAAGCGCGCGUAGGCGGUCAUGCAAGUCAGAGGUGAAAUGCCGGGGCUUAACCCCGGAACUGCCUUUGAAACUGUGGCGCUAGAAUCUCAGAGGGGAUAGCGGAAUUCCAAAUGUAGGGGUGAAAUCCGUAGAUAUUUGGAGGAACACCGGUGGCGAAGGCGGCUAUCUGGAUGAGUAUUGACGCUGAGGCGCGAAAGCGUGGGGAUC